rnacentral:rRNA from 1 species
GAUGAACGCUGGCGGCGUGCCUAAUACAUGCAAGUCGAACGAAACUUCUUUAUCACCGAGUGCUUGCGCUCACCGAUAAAGAGUUGAGUGGCGAACGGGUGAGUAACACGUGGGCAACCUGCCCAAAAGAGGGGGAUAACACUUGGAAACAGGUGCUAAUACCGCAUAACCAUAGUUACCGCAUGGUAACUAUGUAAAAGGUGGCUAUACUACCGCUUUUGGAUGGGCCCGCGGCGCAUUAGCUAGUUGGUAGGGUAAAGGCUUACCAAGGCAAUGAUGCGUAGCCGAAUUGAGAGGGUGAUCGGCCACAUUGGGACUGAGACACGGCCCAAACUCCUACGGGAGGCAGCAGUAGGGAAUCUUCCACAAUGGGCGAAAGCCUGAUGGAGCAACGCCGCGUGGGUGAAGAAGGUCUUCGGAUCGUAAAACCCUGUUGUUAGAGAAGAAAGUGCGUGAGAGUAACUGUUCACGUUUCGACGGUAUCUAAACAGAAAGCCACGGCUAACUACGUG